AGUCGCUCAAAUCGGUAAAAAGUAGGGGGAGAUCAAUAUAAAUUCAGAGCAAUCUUCAAUUUACGAACAAGAAGCUUGUGUGAACAAUUUGUAAUAAACAAGAGUGAAAAUAAUUCAUUUUUAAUCAAUCAAGAUGCCUUCUCCUUGCGGUGAUUCCAAAUGCAAAGACAAAUGCGAUGGUUGCAAAUGCGGCGAUAACUGCAAAUGCUGUGACUCCGGAAAAGGAGAAAAAUGCCAAUGCAAAAGUGGAGGACAAUGCACAUGCAAACAAGGAUCUUGCGAAUGUUAAUAAUUUAAAAUAGAAAAUAUGUCACUUUCAUUGAAAAAAAAAAUUAUUUUUUUUUCCAAAAUUCAUUUUUAUUUCAUUCAGAUAUAUUUAAAUGAUACUAAAAUGUAAAAUUUUCUUUUUUUGAAAUAAUUUUCUUUCUGUUUCAAUAUAAUACAUAUAUAUUAUUUCCAUUCAAUAAUUCUGCCUUAUAAUUUUUUGUUAUUAAAUAUCUUAUUAUAGGCGAAUUAGAAAUCACAAGAAUGUAAUAAAUUAAUUAGAAAUUAAA